rnacentral:lncRNA from 1 species
GGUCAGAAUGAUUCCACUCUAAAUAAAGAUUGUCGAUCCUUAAUAAUCAUAGUGAGCUCUCACAAUCCAUCAGUGACACCUAGCAGUAUGUAGCAACAACUCAAUAGAUUCAAGAAAAAAUCUCAAGGUGUAGUUUUCAUAUGAUUUAGUCCCUCUGUCAUGAGUCCCGACAAAUGGCAAAUCAUGGAUAAAUAGUCAAACCUUAUCAUUAAUCAUA